CAGUGUCUGGUGGGUAGUUUGACUGGGGCGGUCUCCUCCUAAAGAGUAACGGAGGAGCACGAAGGUUGGCUAAUCCUGGUCGGACAUCAGGAGGUUAGUGCAAUGGCAUAAGCCAGCUUGACUGCGAGCGUGACGGCGCGAGCAGGUGCGAAAGCAGGUCAUAGUGAUCCGGUGGUUCUGAAUGGAAGGGCCAUCGCUCAACGGAUAAAAGGUACUCCGGGGAUAACAGGCUGAUACCGCCCAAGAGUUCAUAUCGACGGCGGUGUUUGGCACCUCGAUGUCGGCUCAUCACAUCCUGGGGCUGAAGUAGGUCCCAAGGGUAUGGCUGUUCGCCAUUUAAAGUGGUACGCGAGCUGGGUUUAGAACGUCGUGAGACAGUUCGGUCCCUAUCUGCCGUGGGCGCUGGAGAACUGAGGGGGGCUGCUCCUAGUACGAGAGGACCGGAGUGGACGCAUCACUGGUGUUCGGGUUGUCAUGCCAAUGGCACUGCCCGGUAGCUAAAUGCGGAAGAGAUAAGUGCUGAAAGCAUCUAAGCACGAAACUUGCCCCGAGAUGAGUUCUCCCUGAGACUUAGAGUCUCCUGAAGGAACGUUGAAGACGACGACGUUGAUAGGCCGGGUGUGUAAGCGCAGCGAUGCGUUGAGCUAACCGGUACUAAUGAACCGUGAGGCUUAACCUUA
rnacentral:rRNA from 1 species